UGGCAGUGAAAGUGUGGGAAGAACAAGAGGAAUAAGGGGAAGAUCAAGAAGCCGUAGCCCACCUUUGAACUAGACCAUGGAAAUCCACACUCGCUGAUGAUUUCAGGAGGUACUGCUGCGGUCAGCUGGGAAGCCAGGAGAACAUGCCUCUUUGAUGCAGCUGAACACUGUCUAUGAUGUUCUCGGUGCUUGCAGCUGUCCAUUGCUACUAGCUGUUCCUGGUGUUGGAGGCACAGCCCCAAACUAAAAAAAAGAAGAAGGCAGGAUGCACUGUGGCAGGAGGAAGGCUUCAGAUGGUGACAGGAGAGAGAACCACCCAGAGGAAGCCCAGCUGCUGGAGUGUGCUAGAGAAAGCCUGCAAGGCUCCAGGAGGGACCAGAUACGGGGCCACUUCCAACAACAUUCAGAGAGCUGGCACAGAUGUUCCAUCGGGAGCCAGCCACGGAUCAGCUCACACAGAUCAUUCUUGGACUGCAGGUGUGCCCAGGUGCUGAUCUAGAAGAGCAUCAUGGCUCAUAGAGCAUCAUUUGUCUGCAAAAUGAUGUUUGAGAAGAGACCCCUGAAAACAGGAUCUCGAUGACCAAGGAUGACCUGUUCAAUAGCAGGACAAGACUUUAAUCAUCCAAAAAGUUCAACAGGACUCAUUGUACCUUAGUGUUCACCAACCCAAGGAGCUGCAGAGACCAGCAGCCCUGCAGCAGAACCUGGAGAGAUCCAAAGGUCCUUGCAUGGAUACUUAUCUUUCUUACCUUUCCCCAGCCAUAGGGAAUCUGUUAGUCAGCUUUUUGUCACUGUGACCAAAAUACCUGACAAGAAUAACUUGAAGGAGGAAAAGUCUGGUUCAUGGUUUCAGAGGUUUCAGUCCAUGGCUGGCCAACUCUGUUGCUCUGGCCUGAAGUGGAGGAGAACAUCAUGGUGAAAGAGCAGUGGCUAAGGAAAGUGGCUUAGCUCAUAACAGUUGGGAAACAAAGACAGGGCAAGGAGCUAGGGGACAAGAUAAAAUCCCCAAGACCUGUCCUCAAUGACCUGUUUCCUCUAGCCAUACCAUACCUGCCCAGAAUUACCACCCAGUAUUCAAUUCAAAUUAUUAAUCCAUCAAAUGGGUUAACCCACUGAUUGGGUCACAGUCUUCAUAAUCUAAUCAUUUACCUCACCGAUCAUGAUCUAAUCAUUUUAUAAUCUAAUCAUGCUUAGUGGAACGUCUAGCAUGCAGUAAAUAUUCUGUUUAGGUAAUAAAACAUUCCUGUAUUGUC